CAAAGAAAUCAAUUAUGUCACUGGCAUAAGCACACACACAAGACAAUGGAACGGAAAUUGAGAGCCCAAACUAAACCCUUGCAUGAACAGUCAACUAGUAUUUGACAAGGGAGUCAAGAAUACAUAGUGGAGAAGGGUAUUCUCUUGAAUAACUGGGGCUGGGAAAAUUGGAUAUACACGUGCAUAAGAAUAAAGCUUAGCACCUUAUGUUAUACCACUCCAAGAAUUAACUUGAAAUGGAUUAAAGAUGUAAAUGAAUAGUACGGAAACCAAAUUCUUCCUCAUCGUUUCAGCUCUUACUAUGCCAAGACGGAGCUGUUGAGGUGGUGAAGGGCUGGGUGGAGAGUAGUCCUGGACAUAGAAGACUGUGUGUGUGGAACAGACUUUCUUUAGUAGUCUGGAAUUAUCCCUCUGAUUCUUUAAGACUAGCCACUUCCUUCCCCACAUUUGCAGACACAGCUAGUACCAUGCUGCCAGCAAUGCACUGCUUUGCCUCCUCCAACUCUUAGAAAUUCUAGGUGGGACCCAGUGGGAAGGGUGGAGUUUAGAAGCACUGAUGCUGCCCUGUUGACACCAGGUGGAGAGGAAGGAGACAGGUGCCAUUCGGCUUCAUUGGGGUUCAGGUAUGUUAGUGUUGGUGUUGGUGUUGAAUUUUUCACCUUUUACCCUAACACAUCUCAAAAGUUUAAUUUCUGUCCUGCAGGUCCACGUGGUUUCCAGGAUAUUUCCUCCUUUCCCAGAAGUGCCCUCCAUGUCAUACCCCGUGGGCUGACAUUUAUCACCACCCAUGGGCUUUGGACCACCCCCACCUUCUCCAAACUGGGGUCCUCUGGGACCUCACCUUCCUCCUCCACCAUGUGGAAAGAUGAUAUGACUAGUAUGAGUUGACUUAUAAAACACGUUGUGUCUUUUACUUGUUAUGUGUUUGGAGGAGAUGCAUUGAUGGCACCACAGGGCUUUCAGGUCAGCCUGAGUGAGGACGUUGUAAGGUUCUUCAAGUUUCUCAGGACAUGCAUGAAAUGGGCAGUCAUUUCCACAUAGUGAGCUGGGCAACACGUGUCUCUGAUAGAGAAGGAAAGAGGCCUUAUACGUGCUGAGAGACAUAGCAUUCCUUGGGAUGUAGCUUGUACAGAGACCAUGUGCUGGGCUCUCUGAGGGAUGAAACACACCCCUAACAUACUUUCUAGCGAGUUGAGACCUGAGCUGCUCACAGCUGCUUGUUUAGUUACAAAAACACCUGAACCAGGGCCCUGUGAACCUUCCUCAAGGGACAGGAUCAGAUCUCCCUCUUGUCCUCAAGGGUCACCCGAGGCACGUGGAAAACGCUCUGUCCCUGGUAAGGGACCCGAGAGUGUGAAUGAGUUGAAUAUAAUGAAACAUGUUCAGGAUGGUUUGUUUUUCUUCCACACAGUCUAUGCAAGUCAGAAUCAACCUCCAUCCGCCUCCAUCCUUUAUGAGACCUAAGACGUGAUGCAGCUCCAAUGGGAAAUAUCAGUUGUGUCUCUACCAAGGAUGCAGAAAAAGACAAGAUUCAGGCUUGUUUCCGGUAAGAAACGCUGACAGAAAUUCAGAAGAACGGGAGCUGCAUUCCAUUAGGACUUGAAUACACGAAAUGUUCGUCUCAGGACCUUCUAGAAGAAUGAGCUGGGACCCACUUUCCGAGUCCUGCUGGAACCAGUGACCGAGGUGUGGAGUUUCUUCUGCCAGUCGUUGGAUCCCUCUCUGGUUCAUGGACUUGGAUGUUCUGCAGUUGAGAACAUGGGACUGGAUAUGGGCCAGGUGUCUGAAUGCCUGCACUAGGGUACCUACCUCCUUUUCGGAUAGACUGUAUUCCCUUUCCAUGUUUUAGCUGUACCUGUGACACAGGACACGAGAGAAUGUGCUCAUGUGAACACAAGUGAAGGACACCGUGGGGACUUGCCACACAGGUUCAUCUCCUAGCCAGAAUCAAGAAAGGAAGACACAGCAGCCACACUGUUCCCACAGAGGUGAGGUCUGGAAAGGAUCACCCAGGCCGGGAGACAUCUGUUUGGAGUGUGCAGUCAUCCUCCUCUCAUUAUUUCCUGAAACUCACGGAAAAACCUUAAGGUACUCAGUCUCUAAGCGCUUUUGGCUUCUAAACUUACCACAGAAAGCUGACAGACUAAAAAUUGAGAAGCAACAAACAGACAUAUCACACAACACGCAAAACGAGACAAGGCCGGGAGAGCAUACUGUACAUAAAGAUGAGGGUUUCCCAAAAGAGUUACAACUGAGCAUGGCCCCGGCAUUUACCUUGCCCUUGUCUGCAUUCUUGGUACAGCCAGAGCCGCUGUAACUCACAGAGGUUUCAGCAGUUUCUUGAUCUACUAAAGACCCUAGAAGGGACAGAGGUUUAUUCUGCUUUCAGAGGACUGUGCAUAAUGAAAACAAUCCCUCAACUCAUUCC